rnacentral:lncRNA from 1 species
GCCUCAAAUGUUAAAUUAACAAAAAAAAAAAAGAUUUAGUCAAACAUUUAAAAAAAACAUUAAAACGCUUUGUUCAAACGUUUUAAAAAAUGUAACUAUUGGCCUGUGUUUACUACUGCAUGGCGUCCGGGACAACAGAUUCCCAGGGAUUUGGAGGGAUUUCAAGAUUACAACAUGAUUACAGCAUGUGGACACUGAUGGGAAAUGUUGGAACUUAACCGUGAAAUCUGUCCAGAAACUAUAGAAACGUUUUAAUUAAUGAAACUCAGUGCUGAAUUAAUGAAAAGUAGACAAUAUAUUUAUCCCCAGUAGUGUAGUGCAGAUGUUCAAUACAAACAUGCUUAUGGGGGUUACACAAUCCUAUUUGAGGCUAGAUUUUGAGGGGUCAGAUCUAUGUUAUGGAGCAUUUUUUUUUUUUUGGUGGCAUUACUGAUAUACACUCAUCAAUUUCAAUAUUGAUGUACCACAAUUAGAGAUUUUAGAACUGCAACAAAUCUAACCUUUUUAAUUGUAUGUAACACAGCAUUAUCCCCCGCCCCCCAAAUAAAUCAAAUAGCAACACUCACAUUGAGUCUGUAUCCAUGGGAUCCUGAAAACAAUCUUCCAUAUCAAACAUGUUUCCUCCAAAAAUGUGUGCUGCUCCAAACAAAACACUUAAUGACCAAAAGUAUUUUGUGUUUGCAUCAUGCACUAUGUAUUGCAGAUAUCCAUGUGUUACCGACAGACAGUGAUGGGACAGGAACAGUUGUGGGCUCCACUAGCAGCUGGCAAAAGGUGACAUUACAUCCACGUCUUCACCUGGGUUCUCUUCUGGAGUUGAACGCUGAGCUGCAGGAAAACCUCAUUCAGAUGGUCCAUCUCCUUCUCCAAACAGUGAGCCUUCAACAGAGAGAAGGGUCAAACAACCAUCAACUCAAUAAUCCUCCUGAGGGGAUUGUGAAGUAAGUUAAGUAAUAUGUACAGUACAAUGGCUCAAUGUGGAAAUUCACUGCAGGAAAAGAUGGUGGAACUGUCAGCAAAACUUACUUGGACGGGUGUUCUUAAACACUGUUGUGAAGGUCCUGAAAAAUAGAUUGAGGACAAUAUACAAUACGUACCUAAAUAUAUUUUUGUAAUACAUAUUUCAAUACAGUUCAAUACAGAACAACACAUUCUUACUGUUUUCACAGUACAUGCAUAUGAUAUAGACCUAAUAUUAUCAAAACAGGUUACCCUUUUCAGUGUCCUCUGCUGGAAACUGUUUAAGAUCCCGCAUGAUUUGCUCCACAUUGAAAUACUUAUAUCGUUGGAGUCUAAAAUAAAAUGGUAAAGGAUUUGAAACAUUUUGUAAAUGUUUUUAUGAAAGUCAUUGUCAAAAGUGCAACACAAACCUGUCUGACAAGAGGUGCUCUGUGAACUGGCUAUCAGUGGGGACACGGACAUUGAGAAAGUCCUCUACUAACUUCCCAGGAGACUGGUCUGAGGUCAGUGAGGUGUCCCUCUUUGCCUGUAAAAGUAAGGCACAAGUCUGCUUGCUGCACUCAACAGUGCAGUAUAUUUACCUGUGAAUCAAUGGGUUCCAGAAACUUCAAGGCCUCUUACCUUGUUUGCAUCAUAUCUGAAAGAGGCGUUGAACAACUGAAGGCUCAAAGCAGAGAUGGCAUGAUGGAGGACUUGCAUGAAGCUUUCAGGCUUGGAACCUAAUACAGGGCAUUGAUCGGACAUGAUAAACCUACUGUGGGAGAACAUCAACAACAAAAUAGUACAACAAAAAUCCGAAGUAACAUAAAAAAUUCAUACCGCUUAAAAUGUGACCAUACUUCACAACAUUAUUAUCUAUUUACCUGAAGCAAUAUAGGCCAUAGACUGUAGGAGAGUGGCAAUAAACUGUCCCACACUCUCAAGCUUUGCCUCACAGAGAUACAGAAUCUGGUUGGUUGUGUCAAAAUAAAAGUCCCCACUGCAGUGUGACACCAGGCCCUCGUAAGCUGAGACAGGAACCGUUUUGGACAGAAGCAGCAUGACAGGGGGGAAGAUUUGAGUGUUGCAAAGCAGUUUCACAACAUGACAGCCGAACAGGAAGAUGGCAAAGUGCUGUGGGGAGAGGUUGUCCAGGGCAACGGGAAUCAGGUGCACUGUUGGGUCCUCUGUGGUUUUGUCAGUCCUGGCUGGAAUACAAACUGUAACGUCAGAGGACAUCAUUAGUGUACUGCACUAGUCAGCUAAGCAGAUAUACAGUACCAGUUUGCAUUGUGGUUGAAACCAUAAAUCACAAUUUUGACAAUUUUGACUCAUCAGACCAAAGGAUAGAUUUCCACCUCUCUAAUAUCAAUUGCUCGUGUUUUUUGGCCCAAGCAAGUCUCUUCUUAUUAUUGUUGUCCUUUAGUAGUGGCUUCUUUGCAGCAAUUCAACGAUUAAAGCCUGAUUCACACAGUCUCCUCUGAACAGUUCAUGUUGAGAUGUGUCUGUUACUUGUACUCUGUGAAGCAUUUAUUUGGGCUGCAAUUUCCGAGGCUGGUAACUCUAAUGAACUUAUCCUUAUCCUGCAGCAGAGGUAACUCUGGGUCUUCCUUUCCUGUGGCGGACCUCAUGAGAGUCAGUUUCAUCAUAGCGCUUGAUGGCUUUUGCAACUGCACUUGAAGAAACUUUCAAAGUUCUUUAAGUUUUCCAGAUUGACUGACCUUCAUGUCUUAAAGUGAUGGACUGUCGUUUCUCUUUGCUUAUUUGAGCUGUUCAUGCCAUAAUAUGGUCUUGGUCUUUUACCAAAUAAGGCUAUGUUCUGUAUACCAACCCUACCUUGUCACAACACAACUGAUUGGACCAAAGACAUUCACAAAUUAACUUUUAACAAAGCAUACCUGUUAAUUGAAAUGCAUUCCAGGUGACUACCUCAUGAAGCUGGUUGAGAGAGUGUGCAAAGCUGGCAUCAAGGCAAAAGGUGGCUACUAUGAAGAAUCUUGAUUUGUUUAACACUUUUUUGGUUACUACAUGAUUCCAUACGUGUUACUUCAUUGUUUUGAUGUUUUCACUGAUAUUCUACAAUAUAGAAAAUAGAAAAAAAAUAAGAAAAACUCUUGAAUGAGUAGGUGUGUCCAAACCUUUGACUUGUACUGUAUACUGUGAAUAAAAGCAACAUGCGGCAUUUAUUGAUCUACACUACAAUUGACCAUAGCCCAUGAUGGGCACUCUAGUCAAUUUUGCCUUGGACUCUAAUCCGUCUCGAGUCCCAGUUGUUAUCUCCAACAUUUCAAUCAACAGUUACAGAGGAUUAUCUCUUCUCUCGGGAGAAGAGAAACAUGGAGCAUUAGAGAGGUUCAAGCUGUUCCUAACCUCUGUCUACACCAGAUAGGUUCUGGAGGGACUCCUGUAUCUCCUGCAGGGUCCUGGACAGAGGGGUCAUGGCCACUAGUUUGGACAGGUCCUGCUCACUCAGACAGGGGGCUGUGCUCUGUAGGUGUACUAGUACAGAAGAGCAGAAGAUAAGUUGGAAGUUAAUACACAACACUGAAAAGUCCUGUAUGUGUGGGAGUAGUCGCACGUCCCACUUCAUCACUGCAAGUUGACCGAGUUUAAAAAAAUACUGUGUUGAAAAGCAUUAAAGUCAUUCAGGUUGAAUAAACAAAACCACUGUUCCUAGAUGUGACCCGACUACGGUGCCCGUGUCUCCUCACUUCAUAACUUAACACUAUCUACUGAAUUUACAGUGGACUGAGGUAACUUAUUCUCGCAAUAUGCCUGGCUCUUCUAAUCAUUCAUGUAAGAAGUUGUGUGGAAAUAUACUCACAGCUGGUGAAUAAGACGACAGGUGUACAUGAGGGGAACGAUUUGAACCGUGUCUAUAUCCUACCUAGAUCAUGAGGUGGUGGUCCUGUCUCAUGGCCUGAUGCAGGUUUGGUCAUGUUGGCUGAGGAAAACUAAAAACCAAAAUAAUAUGAUGAGUUAUUAGUCGAAGAGUUAGAAAUAAUCUAGGUCUAGUAUUCACAAUAUCCAUAUCCCAUAUUCCUUUAGAUUGUCAAAGACAACCUUUGGAUGUAAAUACAGGUAUGCUGGUGAAUGGUGGUGGUCCUUUGUAGCUCAGUUGGUAAAGCAUGGCGCCUGCGUUGACAGGAUACGUGGG